ACAUUACAUUACAUUACAGGCAUUUAGCAGACGCUCUUAUCCAGAGCGACUUACACAACUUUUUACAUAGCAUUUUACAUUGUAUCCAUUUAUACAGCUGGAUAUAUACUGAAGCAAUUUCGGUUAAGUACCUUGCUCAAGGGUACAACGGCAGUGUCCUACCCGGGAAUCGAACCUGCGACCUUUCGGUUACAAGUCUAGUUCCCUACCCACUGUGCUACACUCCGUCCACAGCUGUCCCGCAGUCUUGAGAAAAAAAACACCCCUAAAUUUUUUAUUUUUAAUGAAUAAGUUAUUUCAGUGAAUAAUUUGGUCUAUUUUUUUAAUUGGCCUGGCUUAGUGGCUUGCCUGGUGAAUGUUUAACAAUUUAAAGCAAAAGCAAACAAACAGAAACUGCAGAAUAGAGUGAGGAUGAUUCAGAUAAACUGUGCUGCCUGCCCAGAGGGCGAGUGGAGCUGUGUGGAGCUUAGAAACGGUUGCUAUGCAGUGUAAAACUCUGGCUUUCUCUUCCACAUAGCAGCAGCAGAGGCGGGGAACGUGCUCCAGGAUCCUCAAAUCCCUACUGAGAGGGGAAAAUAGAUCCCAUUUCCAAAGGAAGGCACUGACAUUCCAGGACUACCCCAAUGCAAGUAGUUUUGUUCUGGGAAAGCAACGGCAUAGCCUGAACGUUUUCUAACUGCUGGCAUUCAGGGGUCAGUAUCCUGGACAUAAGCUGACACUCGCCUGGUCUAGAGAAGCAAAGGCUGCUUCUUCGUUUGACAGGUGUACAGAAAAGCUGGUUCCCUUUGAGCAAAAAAAUGACAGAAGACCCGUUUCCACAUGAAAGCAAGCAAAUCACAGCCAAGGCCUACAGGAGUAUUUCUGUUCACAGAGUUUGCAGACUAUCCACCUCUCUGUUGCCAAGGCAGGUAACUGAUCUCCAUGGUAACACCUUUUCCCCAAGGCUGCCUUCAGCUGUUGAUUUUGGGUCCCAGGGGGCAGGGGCAGGUUCACAGGCCACACAAACAGAGUGACACAAAGCUGCUCGUCCACUCUCAGGAUCAUCUCACCACACAGGCCUGCUCAUCCAGCACUCUCAGGAUCAUCUCACCACACAGGCCUGCUCAUCCAGCACUCUCAGGAUCAUCUCACCACACAGGCCUGCUCAUCCAGCACUCUCAGGAUCAU